GUGGGGAAUUUUGGACAAUGGGCGAAAGCCUGAUCCAGCCAUGCCGCGUGCCGGAAGAAGGCCCUCAGGGUUGUAAACGGCUUUUGACGGUGAAGAAUCGACAGGAUGCGUCCUGUUUUGACGGUAGCCGUUGAAUAAGCACCGGCUAACUCCGUGCCAGCAGCCGCGGUAAUACGGAGGGUGCGAGCGUUGUCCGGAUUUAUUGGGUUUAAAGGGUGCGUAGGCUGGAAGGUCAGUCAGCGGUGAAAAACUGUCGCUUAACGAUAGUCUUGCCGCAGAUACUUCCUUUCUUGGAUGAGGAGGAGGCCACUGGAACGGAUGGUGUAGCGGUGAAAUGCAUAGAUAUCAUCCAGAACACCGAUUGCGAAGGCAGGUGGCUGUACCUUAAUCGACGCUGAUGCACGAAAGCAUGGGGAGCAAACAGGAUUAGAAACCCGGGUAGUCC
rnacentral:rRNA from 1 species